CCUACGGGUGGCAGCAGUGAGGAAUAUUGGUCAAUGGACGAGAGUCUGAACCAGCCAAGUAGCGUGAAGGAUGACUGCCCUAUGGGUUGUAAACUUCUUUUAUAUGGGAAUAAAAUGUUCCACGUGUGCCUUUUUGUAUGUACUUUAUGAAUAAGGAUUGGCUAACUCCGUGCCAGCAGCCGCGGUAAUACGGAGGAUCCGAGCGUUAUCCGGAUUUAUUGGGUUUAAAGGGAGCGUAGAUGGGUUGUUAAGUCAGUUGUGAAAGUUUGCGGCUCAACCGUAAAAUUGCAAUUGAUACUGGCAGUCUUGAGUACAGUUGAGGUAGGCGGAAUUCGUGGUGUAGCGGUGAAAUGCUUAGAUAUCACGAAGAACUCCGAUUGCGAAGGCAGCUUACUAAACUGCCACUGACAUUGAUGCUCGAAAGUGUGGGUAUCAAACAGGAUUAGAUACCCGGGUAGUC
rnacentral:rRNA from 1 species